CCCAAUCCGUUUUUUGUUCAUAGAUUUCUGUUGUAGUUUAAUUUACUUGACAUUUUGCCAAGUCAUAGUUUUAGGACUAUCACAACAUAUGUAUACUUUGCACCCAUGUCCUCUGUCAAAUUUGUUCAGUUCAAAGCAUUAAUACUAUGACCAGCUAUCCAAUUUGCAGUCCAGAUAUAUUGUUUCCUUAACCAGCAAUGCAAAUUUGGGGCAGCUUCAAUUUUCUUGUCUGAUUUUAUUUUGCAAUCUAUAAUCUGAACUGAAAGACAGGGGUACAUGCGCUCAGGUUUUGUAGUUGACUAACCAUUAGUAAUGCAAAUUAGGAGCCCCUUUAAUUUCCGUGAGCUGCAAGUGCAGUUGACCAAUAAUCUCAUACUUGCUCAUAAGCUGGUGAACUGAAUCAACACACCUCUUUUGGUUCCAACAAAAAAAUUCCAUGCUUAGGACUAUAAAAUUACUUCUGUAUAAUGUUCAUAUGGGUCCGGAGGACAUUUUACACUUGAUGUUUACUUGUGCACGAGCGAAGCAAGUCUGAGCUGCCCUGGGUCUUCUAGAAAUUAUUGAAGAAGCGUCACGUAUCGAUAGAUCUGGAUCCUUUGUGUUGGAAGAGCUGCUGCGUCGGACUAUCAUAGUUCAUAUCAUAAUGUUGAUGCCUCUUUUGAUAUAUCGCUCAAAUAAGAUUAGGAGGAAGGGCAUCACACUCUCCGAGAGCAAACAAGAUACCACGUACCGAUCCUGAUUUAGAAUUAUGACAAGGAGUCAGGGACACAAUCAGAUUUAUACCAUCCGUUGUGAUGAUACAAGGAAAGUAAACACAUACGCAUAUUGUGUUCAACGUGAUGAUACAAGCGAAAGCUGGCCUACGCCGCCAACUAAUCUGCGGCAGCGUGGAAGGAGUGUUCAAAAGCAGCAGGAACAGUUGUUCCACUGCUGGUCGGAGGGAGAGCUUGGCAAGGGAGAUAGAGGGAGCUCUACAACCACGAUCUUGGCAUACAACCCGAUGGCAUCAUGCCCACUUAAGCUUCUUCCAUAUUCCAAUUCUUGCAUUUGUUGGUCUUUUACUGUCAGAGCUUACGAAAUCCAUUACAAAUGGAGGUGAGGCCAAGUCGUGAACUUGCUGAGACGUCUUUGCCUUGAAUUCUAAGGCUUGAAUCUAAAUGGAGGUGAGGCCAAGUCUUGAACGAAUACUAAGAGAUUUCACGAAUCCAUUAUUGCCUACAGAACAACAUCCUAGGGCCCUCCCAGUUUGAUUCUCUUUAUUUUGCUAUAUCUCAACUAUUACAUACAUCAUUUAUGCUCUGAAGCUAACCAUUGUAUGCUUUGAUUGGUUGGAGCGGCAAGGUUUUCCAGAUCCUGGGAGUCUAUCCCUUCCAACAAUCUGGAGGUAGCAUAGUACAUCCGUACUCGCAGAGGGAAUAUGUCUGAGCCGCCGUUAUGUGUUUCUACUAAUUAAAGAACAACUAGGGUCACUUGAAAGAAGACGAGCUGGAAGAAUUCCACGAUAGACCAUUGCUUCAAGGUUGGGAGCGGCCACAACAUAAUUGACAUCAAAACCAGAUCUGGGUCCUACAUAUCCGGUCUUGCUCGUAUCCUACAAUGGUUUACAGAUGGUGUGGCUCCUUGCACUAAGAUGAUCGAUCAGAGAUCUAGAGUCCUCAAUACAGAUCGAUGACGCCUCCUCAAGAUUCACUUCUUCGUAGCCCCCAACCUUGGUAUAGUAUAAAAACCUACAAAUAAAUCAGAAGAAUAGGCAAUUAUCGGAUGCUUAUGUUUGUUGGUGUAGUAGCCCUCUUAAGUCCAGUCCUAGAGAAGUGUGUCGUAGAAGCAUAUCAGGAAGACAUGGACGUGGAUAUGCAUUAUGGUUGUAUUAUGGACGUGGAAAUGGUCGCUAUAUUAGCUAUAUCUUUUACAUA